rnacentral:rRNA from 1 species
AUCUUUUGACCUCGCGCUAUAAGAUGAGCCUAUGUCGGAUUAGCUUGUUGGUGGGGUAAUUGCCUACCAAGGCGACGAUCCGUAGCUGGUCUGAGAGGAUGAUCAGCCACACUGGGACUGAGACACGGCCCAGACUCCUACGGGAGGCAGCAGUGGGGAAUCUUGGACAAUGGGGGAAACCCUGAUCCAGCAAUGCCGCGUGUGUGAAGAAGGCCUUCGGGUUGUAAAGCACUUUCAGUAGGGAAGAAAAUCUCAGGGGUAAUAUACUUGAGCAUUGACGUUAUCUACAGAAGAAGCACUGGCUAACUCUGUGCCAGCAGCCGCGGUAAUACAGAGAGUGCAAGCGUUAAUCGGAAUCACUGGGCGUAAAGCGCGCGUAGGUGGAUGUUUAAGUCGGAUGUGAAAGCCCUAGGCUUAACCUAGGAACUGCAUUCGAUACUGAAUAUCUCGAGUAUGGUAGAGGGAAGUGGAAUUUCCGGUGUAGCGGUGAAAUGCGUAGAUAUCGGAAAGAACACCAGUGGCGAAGGCGGCUUCCUGGACCAAUACUGACACUGAGGUGCGAAAGCGUGGGGAGCAAACAGGAUUAGAGACCCUGGUAGUCCACGCCGUCAACAAUGAGAACUAGCUGUUGGGAAGUUUACUUUCUAGUAGCGAAGCUAACGCGUUAAGUUCUCCGCCUGGGGAGUACGGCCGCAAGGUUAAAACUCAAAGAAAUUGACGGGGGCCCGCACAAGCGGUGGAGCAUGUGGUUUAAUUCGAUGCAACGCGAAAAACCUUACCUACCCUUGACAUCCUCAGAACUUGUCAGAAAUGACUUGGUGCCUUCGGGAACUGAGUGACAGGUGCUGCAUGGCUGUCGUCAGCUCGUGUCGUGAGAUGUUGGGUUAAGUCCCGUAACGAGCGCAACCCUCGUCCUUAGUUGCCAGCGAUUCGGUCGGGAACUCUAAGGAGACUGCCGGUGAUAAACCGGAGGAAGGUGGGGAUGAUGUCAAGUCAUCAUGGCCCUUACGGGUAGGGCUACACACGUGCUACAAUGGGCAGUACAAAGGGUUGCCAAACCAUGAGGUGGAGCCAAUCCCAAAAAACUGCUCUUAGUCCGGAUUGAAGUCUGCAACUCGACUUCAUGAAGUUGGAAUCGCUAGUAAUCGCGAAUCAGAAUGUCGCGGUGAAUACGUUCUCGGGCCUUGUACACACCGCCCGUCACACCAUGGGAGUG